CCUACGGGAGGCAGCAGUAGGGAAUCUUCCACAAUGGACGAAAGUCUGAUGGAGCAACGCCGCGUGAGUGAUGAAGGUUUUCGGAUCGUAAAACUCUGUUGUAAGGGAAGAACAAGUACGAGAGGUAAUGCUCGUACCUUGACGGUACCUUGCGAGAAAGCCACGGCUAACUACGUGCCAGCAGCCGCGGUAAUACGUAGGUGGCAAGCGUUGUCCGGAAUUAUUGGGCGUAAAGCGCGCGCAGGCGGCCUUUUAAGUCUGAUGUGAAAGCCCCCGGCUCAACCGGGGAGGGUCAUUGGAAACUGGAAGGCUUGAGUACAGAAGAGAAGAGUGGAAUUCCAUGUGUAGCGGUGAAAUGCGUAGAGAUGUGGAGGAACACCAGUGGCGAAGGCGACUCUUUGGUCUGUAACUGACGCUGAGGCGCGAAAGCGUGGGGAGCAAACAGGAUUAGAUACCCUGGUAGUCCACGCCGUAAACGAUGAGUGCUAGGUGUUGGGGGGUUUCCGCCCCUCAGUGCUGAAGCUAACGCAUUAAGCACUCCGCCUGGGGAGUACGGCCGCAAGGCUGAAACUCAAAUGAAUUGACGG
rnacentral:rRNA from 1 species